rnacentral:rRNA from 1 species
UACGUAGGGUCCGAGCGUUGUCCGGAAUUAUUGGGCGUAAAGAGCUUGUAGGCGGUCUGUCGCGUCUGCUGUGAAAAUCCGGGGCUCAACCCCGGACUUGCAGUGGGUACGGGCAGACUAGAGUGUGGUAGGGGAGACUGGAAUUCCUGGUGUAGCGGUGAAAUGCGCAGAUAUCAGGAGGAGCACCGAUGGCGAAGGCAGGUCUCUGGGCCACUACUGACGCUGAGAAGCGAAAGCAUGGGGAGCGAACAGG